UGGGGAAUAUUGCACAAUGGGGGAAACCCUGAUGCAGCGACGCCGCGUGAACGAAGAAGGUAUUCGUAUCGUAAAGUUCUGUCCUAUGGGAAGAUAAUGACAGUACCAUAGAAGAAAGCUCCGGCUAAAUACGUGCCAGCAGCCGCGGUAAUACGUAUGGAGCGAGCGUUGUCCGGAAUUAUUGGGCGUAAAGGGUACGCAGGCGGUUUAAUAAGUCGAAUGUUAAAGAUCGGGGCUCAACCCCGCAAAGCAUUGGAAACUGAUAAACUUGAGCAGUGGAGAGGAAAGUGGAAUUCCUAGUGUAGUGGUGAAAUACGUAGAUAUUAGGAGGAAUACCAGUAGCGAAGGCGACUUUCUGGACACAAACUGACGCUGAGGUACGAAAGCGUGGGGAGCAAACAGG
rnacentral:rRNA from 1 species